UACGUAGGGCGCGAGCGUUGUCCGGAAUUAUUGGGCGUAAAGAGCUCGUAGGUGGCUUGUUGCGUCUGCCGUGAAAGCCCGUGGCUUAACUACGGGUCUGCGGUGGAUACGGGCAGGCUAGAGGCUGGUAGGGGCAAGCGGAAUUCCUGGUGUAGCGGUGAAAUGCGCAGAUAUCAGGAGGAACACCGGUGGCGAAGGCGGCUUGCUGGGCCAGUACCGACGUUCAGGCACGAAAGCGUGGGGAGCAAACAGG
rnacentral:rRNA from 1 species